CUGGCUGAUCGAAUUAGACCAAGUCAAACCGGAUUAAACCGGAUUUAAAUGAUAUGUUAACCGCCGCGACCUCUGAACUCUGCAAACGAUCACCGCGAUAUUCCCUGGUCCCAAUUCUUAUCCUAUGUCGUGACCAAGCUUCUUCUGCGAAUAUGAGCUCGCGAUUGGCUCAAAACCACCGCGCCUCACUCCUCUGCGUCCGUCAACCGUCCGUCACGACCUUGCUCAAGGCAUGAUUGCUAGCCGCGGUGCCUCCUUCUCCGAGAGUCCAUAUCUCCCUCGUGGCUGAACUCCUCCGUAAAGAAGUUCCACUGGUGUCGUCGGUUCGUCUCCUUCCUCGUGCUCUGGCUCGAGCUCGUCCUCCGUGGCCGACUUCAUCUCUGUCACUUUGCUCCGCCAAGGAUCCUCGAAUCAUUGCGCCUCCGUUGAACCACGACUCUUCUGUUGUCGUGCUCGACAACUCGAAUCUUCUCCGCCGUCGAGUGGAACCGGAGCCACCAUGAACUUCUCCUUCAAGCUCUAAACGGCGAGAAAGCUUCUUCUGUGGUGUCCGUUCCCAUCUCCAUCACAUUGCUACACCGCAAUUCCUCAGCCACGGCGAAGCUCUUCCAUCACGGCCUCCUCUGGUCUCAGCCCGUGGCCACCUUUUCCGUCUCACCGUCACAGGCUCGCCGUUCUCCGUGUUGAAGCCAAGAUCGAACAACUCCAAUGGCUGAUUUCCUCAUUUCUGCAAAACAGGUCCUCAACUUCUUCGUGUUUACAAAACGGCCCAAAACUUCAUAAUUUGCAGACACGCCCUCUCAAAUCAACUCUACACUUUCGAUUGUGCAAUUUAACCCAACCAAGAAUUCUGAAUUUAACCCAACCAGCUUUGAUCCCUGGGCUCUUGUUAACAUCACAUUGGGCCCAAGACUUCCAUAAUGUGCAAUUUAGCCCAUGAUUUUCACCAUAAAAUUCCAAAUGUGCAAUUAUGUAUGAAAUUAUGUAUGAAAAUGCAAUAUAAAGACCUAAAUGCAACCUAAAAUGAUUAAAAUGAGAUAGAUUGAGAUGCUAAAAUUCACUUAAAACCCAAUAUAUCAGUUCUUAAGGGAAGGUACUUUAGACAUACGAACCCUCUGGAGAUUAGUAGCUCGAACUCUCCUUCGUAUGGAUGGAAAAGCAUGCUUGCGGCCAGGGAACUCUUAAAGAAGGGCUUAAGGCAUACGAUCGGAUCGGAUUUUAAUACUUGUGUGUGGUUUGAUCAAUGGAUCCCAUCACAGACACCCAGGCUAGUUCCAGAUAACGGUACGUGGAGGGACCCUAACAUGUAUGUCAACCAUCUCAUAGAUCACAAUACGGGUGAAUGGAAGAUGGGUUUGAUUCGGAAUAUUUUCGAUCCCGUGGAUGUGAACCUAAUACAGAGCAUCAAAUCCAGUCACUGUAUCAAACCUGAUGGCUUCUGUAGGGUUCACACAAAGUCCGGGUUAUAUAUUGUUUGAUCCAUGAAGAGAGCAUCGAGAAACAGGUCCUAGAACCAAGUAUAAAUCCCUUGUUAACUAAGGUGUGGAGUUUGAAAGCACCAAGGAAGAUUAAACACUUCUUGUGGCAAUGUUUAACAGAAUGUGUUGCGGUUUGUAGUAGAUUAUCCGAUCGACAUUGCAGUAAUGACCGAUCGUGUCAUAGAUGUGGAGGGGAUGAUGAGUCCAUUAACCAUCUACUUUUUGAAUGUCCUCCUGCACUUUAGACGUGGGCUCUGUCGGACCUCCCAUCAGCUCCGGGACAGUUCCUAAGUUCAUCAAUCUAUGAAAACUUUGACUUUCUCCUGUUUCGAGCUCCGACAAGGGGUGUCUCGAAGCAACGGCUAGUAAAGUUCCCUUGGAUUAUGUGGUAUGUAUGGAAAGAAAGGGACGAUAAAUGGUUCAAUGGUGUAGAUUUACCGCCCAUGGACUCCUUACAUAAGACGACUCAAGAAGGAGAGGAAUGGCUAGUAGCACAAGAAGUCCCAAAAGUUGCAAAGGAGAGGGAGCGACCACAGUCGAUAGAACAAGAGGAGAUGAAUAGGUUGCACAAACCGAGAUAUCAAGUGGAUGCAUCUUGGGAAACCAAUCAGUCUACUUUUGGUGGCGAUCUUAUCUUGGAGAUGGAAGAUGGGAGCAUGUUCUCGGGUUCCUUAGGGAGUAGGCAAGUCCCAUCCCCUCUUCAUGCAGAGUUCUGAACCUUGCUGUGGGCAAUUAAUUACGCGCUCCGUAUGAGUUACAACAAAAUUCAUUUCGAAUCAUACUGCCUGCAAAUGGUUAAGCUAAUCGAAGAAGAAGAACUUUGGCCAUCUUUGGCUUCGGAAUGGAAUGAAUUCUCCCACCUCCGUUCUUUGUUUAUGUUCUUUUCACUUUCUUAUUCCUCGCGACUUAAAUUCUCUGGCUGACCUCCUUGCAAAAGGAGCUCGUAUGAAAGGUUCUGAGUUCUCCCAUGUAAACAUUUUGGUUCCACCGGGGUUAGCUCAAACUAACCUUUUCAAACCAGUCUAACGAAAUAUGGUGAUUAGCCGUCAAAAAAAAAGUAAUGUAAUUGAUCAUGGCCAGAAAUCAAUCAUCUCACUUUAUCAGUUCAGAUUUUUUACCUUCCCCAUCAACUGAAGCUAGGGUGAAAUCACAAAAUUAUUCGAAUCAUCCUCUCCCAAAAAAUCCUAGAACCAGAUCGUCCACUAAUAGCGACUACUCAACUGUAUUUUUUUUCGAUUUUAAUGCUGGUUGUUGCCAGGAGACCGUUUUGGGGCGUCUUCUUUUUUUGUAGGCGAGGAAUGUGAAGAAAGCGGGAGAGCUUAUAGGUGUCGACAUGGUUUUCCUCGAUGAGAAGUCAGACUUUGGUCCACAGAUUUAUUGGGGCUGAGAGACUCAACUCUUUGAAGCACCUGCAGAAGUAAGGAACCAUCUACAAGCUAAGAAGAAGUAACUGUCAUGAUUCCGACUGGAAAAAACAGACAUUUUUGUUGAAGUAUGUGGCAUCAAGAAAACCUAUGACAAAGAAAAUCAGGCUAUGCAACGUGUUAUGUUAACAAUCCGAGUAUACGGGGAGAUGGUCUGAGCUGCACUGUUCCUAUCUAUGAAGGUUAUGCCUUUCCACAUGCUAUCCUGUGUCUUGAUCUUGGGGGUCUUGACCUCACUAAUGCAUUGAUGAAGAUCCUAACUGAGCGUGGGCCACGACCACAUCAGAGCGUGAAAUUGUCUCAGACAUAUAAAAGAAGCUUUGCUACAUUGGUCUUGACGAAGGAUCUUGAGAAAGCCAAAACUAGCUCAGUUGUUGAGAAGAACUACGAGUUACCUGAUGGGAAAGUGAUCACCAUUGGUUCUGAGCGGUUCCGUUGUCCUGAGGACCGAGGUUCUUUAUCAGCCGCCUAUGAUUGUUAUGGAUGGAGAAUGCUAUACAUGAAACAAAUUAUAACUCCCUAAUGAAGUGUGAUGUAUACAUCAGAAGGACGUGUAUGUAACACUGUGAUCAGUGGUGGCAAACACAUUUUCUCUGGGAUCGCUAACAAAAUGAGCUACGAUAUUACUGCUUGGGCUCCAAAGGAAGAGUACGACGAGUCAUGCCCAUCUGUUAUUCACAGGAAGUGCUUUUUAGCUCAAAGUUAUCAUUUUCAGAAAGAAGCGUUAAGCUGCUCUUUUAUUUUGUUUUUUGUACGUUGUAUUUUAAAAUUCUGGCCAAACACAUUUUGAAGGAUUUAUGUUCUUCUUAUUUAGUUCAGCUCCCUUUUGAGUAAAUAAUAGAACAUUUUCCUCUCUUAUGUUUCAAGUUUUCUCUGUUUUAUAUUUUUUACGUUUGUACACUUCUAUCAAUUAAAGUGGCGAACUAUGGAGACACGACACGAUAAAGAGAAACCAAAAAGAAGCCCAAACCAUAAAAGCUGAAUUAGGGAACCUAAAAGUCUAAUUAACAUUGGAGUUACCAAAUCAUAAAAGAAGUCCAAAACAAAAAAGCUUACAUUACAUGAUAGAGCAAAGUUGAGAAGACAUCUAAGUAGGUGUUUCAUGGUUUGGAUCAGUGUUCAGGGUCGGUCUAAUAGCGCCUCUGCCUGCAACCCGUGUGCUGUUCCAGAAACUUAGUGAGUCUGAUAUGCUUAGAGGUCCACUGAUCAGCAAGUUUCUGGUCUCAAUCAUAUUAAGAUUUCCAGAUAUACCAAUGAUAUCGGCGUUAAAAACUCAUAAUCAUCAGACUUUUUCUAAAGCUUUAGUUUAUGGGAAAUGAUUUUGUUUACGAUUUUGUUCAAGUUUCUUCAUGUAUUGAUUAUCAAA